ACGAACGCUGGCGGCGUGCCUAACACAUGCAAGUCAAGGGGAAAGGGGUAGCAAUAUCCCGAGUACACUGGCGCACGGGUGAGUAACGCGUAGGCAACCUGCCUUCAGGACGGGGAUAAUUCAGCGAAAGCUGGACUAAUACCCGAUGACAUUCUGUUGCAGCAUUGUAGCGGAAUCAAAUACCCGUAAGGGUGCCCGAAGAUGGGCCUGCGUCCCAUUAGGUAGUUGGUGAGGUAACGGCUCACCAAGCCAACGAUGGGUAGCUGGUCUGAGAGGAUGAUCAGCCACACUGGAACUGAGACACGGUCCAGACUCCUACGGGAGGCAGCAGUGAGGAAUAUUGCGCAAUGGCCGAAAGGCUGACGCAGCGACGCCGCGUGAGGGAUGAAGUCCGUUAGGAUGUAAACCUCUUUUGUAGGGGAUGAAUGUCCCGUUUGACGGGAUUGACAGUACCCUGCGAAUAAGGAUCGGCUAACUACGU
rnacentral:rRNA from 1 species